rnacentral:rRNA from 1 species
CCCUUAGAUGUUCUGGGCUGCACGCGUGCUACAAUGGCGUUUCCAGCAAGUCUGCAAACCCGAGAGGGCCAGCGGAUCUUCGAAUUGGCGUCGUGAUCGGGACAGUCGAUUGCAAUUAUUUGACUCAAACGAGGAAUUCCUUGUAAUCGCGAUUCAUCAUAUCGCGCUGAAUACGUCCCUGCCCUUUGUACACACCGCCCGUCGCUCCUACCGAUUGAGCGAUCCGGUAAAUGUUUUGGAUUGGUGCCGGGGCGGCUAGCUGCCGGUCGCUACGAAAUUUUGUGAACCUUAUCGCUUAGAGGAAGGAAAAGUCGUAACA